rnacentral:rRNA from 1 species
GUAGGUGGCAAGCGUUGUCCGGAAUUAUUGGGCGUAAAGCGCGCGCAGGCGGUUCUUUAAGUCUGAUGUGAAAGCCCACGGCUCAACCGUGGAGGGUCAUUGGAAACUGGAGAACUUGAGUACAGAAGAGGAAAGCGGAAUUCCACGUGUAGCGGUGAAAUGCGUAGAGAUGUGGAGGAACACCAGUGGCGAAGGCAGCUUUCUGGUCUGUAACUGACGCUGAGGCGCGAAAGCGUGGGGGGAGCAAACAGGAUUAGAUACCCUGGUAGUCCACGCCGUAAACGAUGAGUGCUAAGUGUUAGGGGGUUUCCGCCCCCCCCUUAGUGCUGCAGCUAACGCAUUAAGCACUCCGCCCUGGGGAGUACGGCCGCAAGGCUG